CAUAAGCUGGCAGAAACAAUGCACACGACUUAAGCUCGUUUUAUAAGACUCUAUUCUUGCUUAUGU
rnacentral:tRNA from 1 species